CCUACGGGGCGCAGCAGUGGGGAAUAUUGCGCAAUGGGCGAAAGCCUGACGCAGCGACGCCGCGUGAGGGAUGAAGGUCUUCGGAUCGUAAACCUCUGUCAGCAGGGAAGAACGGUCACUGUGCUAAUCAGCAGUGAAUUGACGGUACCUGAAAAGGAAGCACCGGCUAACUCCGUGCCAGCAGCCGCGGUAAUACGGAGGGUGCGAGCGUUAAUCGGAAUUAAUGGGCGGAAAGAGCUCGUAGGCGGUAUGUCAAGUCAAGGGUGAAAUCCCCGCGCUCAACGUGGGAACUGCCUUUGAAACUGGCAAACAGGAGUGUGUGAGAGGAUAGUGGAAUUCCAGGUGUAGGAGUGAAAUCCGUAGAUAUCUGGAGGAACAUCAGUGGCGAAGGCGACUAUCUGGCACAUAACUGACGCUGAGGAGCGAAAGCGUGGGUAGCAAACAGGAUUAGAUACCCUAGUAGUC
rnacentral:rRNA from 1 species